CAAUGUGUGAAAGCACCAUCAUGUAGCCCCUGAUCUGGAUCUCGUCCACCAGGCUCUGCCCUUGGAAACUAAGAAAGAGAAGGGCGUGCUUUGUGAAUGAGUUUGCCCUGUAGCAGAAAGAACCAAAGAAAAACCUGGCCUUCUUCCCUGAGCACUUCCACAAAGACACACAACAUGCAGUGAAGGGUGCCGACAGGGGAAAUCUUUCCAAGUUAGGCUCCAGGGAAAGGUCUGCUUUGCCUUCCUUGGAAACUCACAAAGAUACCAGUGUGGAGAUUAAGGAUUGCCAAAUUUCCCUUCAACGGGGAACAGGCCAAGUGGCUCAGACAUCCCUCGUCACUCGUGGGUCAUCGGAAAAAAAAAAAAAAUAAAAACAACUGUGCUGGGGAGUUAAUGGAAAAAAAACUUGGGUAGUUUCUCAUUUCAGGAGAGCUCUAGCAUUCAGAUAGGUUUCAACUUUCCUCUAAAAUUCUGAACAGAAAGAAUCUUACUUAAGAAUUUUCCAUCGUGAAAAAAGACAAAACUUAACUCAAAUCACCAGUGAAAUCUCAAAUGCCAAAAACAACAACCUGCGGUUCUUUCGGUCUUAGGUGAAGUGUUUCUGACAUGAAUUUUCACUUGGCAUUUUCCUUCUUUCUUUAUGAUUGAAAAAAGCAUAUGUUUUCCUUUUUGAUAAAAUGUGCGUCUUCGGACAAAAAUAUCUGCGACCUGCUGGAUGGUGGUGCUUGAUAAUUGAUUAAUGACAGAUAGCAAUGAUACCUUUGAUUUAACUUGGUAAUUAAAGUUCUGUGCACUUUGAACAUCCGAUGCAGUUGAAUCUGCUUAUAAGAUUAAGCAGAUAGAAGAGGGGUUAAGGUAGAAGAGGAGGCUCAGGAAUAGAUAAAAGCAAAUUCCUUGUCUCUCCACAAUGCAGUUGGGUAGGGACAAACAUUGGAUUAUGGGAAUUGAAGGAGCUGAUGCACUUGGCUGUGAAAUUAAAUAACUGCAGAUGUGAAUGUUCUGUCACUUGUGCUGUCCCUUUAAUUGAGACUAUCUACGUCUAGAGCCUUCUCACUAGUGCAGAGGCAUCCAGAAAGAAAUGUUCAGAGUUAGCUGUACGAAUGCUGUAUCACUGGUUGUAAAACAAAAAUAUUAUACAUGACUUUUUAAUAUCUCCUAAGAGGGACAUAAUAAGGAAAAUAUAUUUGCUUUCCAAGAAAACAGAUCAAAUAAGGUAAAUGAUUCACUAUGUAAGAAAAAAAUUUCAUUAAUAUUCUUCAUAAAAUUGUUUCAUAAAAAGCUUACAUAUGAAAAUAAUUUUUCACUUAAGUAGAUUUACUCUUUGAUGUUAAUAGACUUAGCUGCUCAAAUUAAUUUUAAAAACAAAAUUUUUAAUUGCGAAAAACAACAUAACACAUUGGCUUUGUUAUAAUCUAGGAAAUUAUUUUUUAAUAUUUCUUUGUACUAUUGAGCAAUUGAAAAUCUGUGAAGUAAUGCAUUCUUCCAUGGGAAGCAACCACUAAGGUGGUUCUGAAACCUUAAUUUUUAUAUUAAACAAAAGCAUUAGGCUUUAGAGUUUACUGAGGCAACAAAAUGAAAUACACAACUGCCUUGAAAUAUUAUGCACAAGUAAUAAAACAUUUAUACCUGUUUUAUAUAAAAAUGUAGAUUUUAAUCCAUUACAGUUGAGGUGUGAAUAGUCCAAAUUAAUGCAGGUGAAUAAAUACUUCUGCUGAGUGCUCUCCGGUGAAUUGCAGUCAAAAUUAAGACAUACAAUUUAACAAGAUAAAGUCACCUUUAACUUAUUCUUUGUUAAUGUUAAACAAGGGGAAUUAAAUGUCUUUAUUAAGAUUAGGCUUUAUGAAUUAAAACAUUCCAUAUGCAGUGUAUGUCAGUCCUUACCAGCUUCCUUGGUGUUAACACACGUUAUGAAAUUUACCUGUAAGAGUUCCAUUAAAUAAUCCUAGAAUUUCAUAGCAUUGUCUCCAUGUAUGGAAAAACUCCUUGCUAACUCCCCAAAUUGCAAACAUAUCUAAAAUGAAGAUGGCAUCAAAUGGCUCAUGAUUAGGUUGUUGUUUUCGAUCUGACAUUUUAAAAUGGACUUUGAUCACCUGCAGACAUCCUUUUCUAAAUUAAGAUUGCAGGAGAGUACAAACUAUUUGACUUACUAAAUGGAAUUCAAUAUAAUGAAACUGAAGAACUUAAGGUGAUAAAGCAAUGAUGUUAGGUUUGAGUAAAAAUAAUUCAGUGAAAAUAAAAAGAGUAGAACAUCAACCACAUCAGCACUUUCCAAGGCACAGUGUAAGUAAGUCAGGUUGGUGUAAAGAUACAUUAUAACCCAUUCUAAGAUGUCUCUUUGGCAGCUGGACACUGUCACAAGCUGAUGUUAAGUUGUUUUAUCUGUGAAGUUUCCAAAAUGGUUUAUAUAAAACCUAUAAAAAUAUAACCCUAUUUUCUUUCGGGUUUUUCUAUGAUAAAAAAAAUAUACUUUUAACUUUUUCUAGAAAAUGGGGAUAAUGCGUUGCAAUGUAGACCCAAUCUUCACCACGAUGACAGGCCAUUUGUUGGCACAUCAAUGAACAAAAUGCAUUGCACUUAAAAUUGAGUGCUCAGAGACAUGUGUGGAUGAACAAGGAGACCAUAGGAUAGGUUAUGAUCCAUAUUUGGGAAAUUUUAGACAUUAUCUAUGCAAAUAUUUACAUUUCAAAUAAUAAGUGUUUACCUAUAAUAUAUAAUUGUGUUAGCUUACUGAAGGAAGAUUAUGAUGUUGAGUAGAGCUAUAUUUGUGUUAUAUAUUUUAGCUGAUUUUAACAAACAUAAGCAGAAUGGGAAAUUGCUGUAGAUAAUCACCAAAUCUCAUGUAAAGGCCUAUUUUCAAAUUUCUUUAAAAUCCUACUUGAUACAACUGGAAAAGAACUGGAUUGGGAGCCAAAAGACAGGGCUGAACUUGGACAAGGCAUUUCACCUUCUUAAUGUCUGGUUCUCAUUGUACUUUUCCGCGUAUAAAACACCAGGCUAAAUGUCUAUAACAUCUAUCUGAAUUUAUCUUCGAAUUUCAUAUCCAUUUAUUUUCCCUGACAGGACUUCUGAUAGUCAAAUGGCUGAAAUGGCCAAACGAAGAGAGAAAGAGAAAAAUGUAAAAAGAAAAGAAAAUCAUGGACUUGGAGAAGAGACUUGUGGCUGCCUGAUGGGAGGGGGAGGGAGUGGGAGGGAUCGGGAGCUUGGGCUUAUCAGACACAACUUAGAAUAGAUUUACAAGGAGAUCCUGCUGAAAAGCAUUGAGAACUAUGUCUAGAUACUCAUGUUGCAACAGAAGAAAGGGUGGGGGAAAAACUGUAAUUGCAAUGUAUACAUGUAAGGAUAACCUGACCCCCUUGCUGUACAGUG
rnacentral:lncRNA from 1 species